GAGGGUAUAGCUCAGUGGUAGAGCGCAUGCUUAGCAUGCACAAGAUCCUGAGUUCAAUCCCUAGUACUUCCA
rnacentral:tRNA from 1 species